rnacentral:tRNA from 1 species
GGCUCAGUAGCUCAGUGGUUAGAGCAGAGGACUCAUAAGCCUAAGGUCGUAGGUUCAAAUCCCACCUGAGUCA